rnacentral:rRNA from 1 species
UUUAAUGAGAGUUUGAUCCUGGCUCAGGACGAACGCUGGCGGCGUGCCUAAUACAUGCGAGUAGAACGCUGAGGUUUGGUGUUUACACUAGACUGAUGAGUUGCGAACGGGUGAGUAACGCGUAGGUAACCUGCCUCAUAGCGGGGGAUAACUAUUGGAAACGAUAGCUAAUACCGCAUAAGAGUAAUUAACACAUGUUAGUUAUUUAAAAGGAGCAAUUGCUUCACUGUGAGAUGGACCUGCGUUGUAUUAG